ensembl:snRNA U5 U5 spliceosomal RNA
GCUCAGGUUUCUCUUCAUUCACGCACAAAUCGUUUGCCUCUUACUAAAGAUUUCUGUGGAGGGGAACGUUGACAAGUUCUUAUUUUUGAAGGCUCUGCUAUGGCAGACCU